ACAGUGUGAUGAGGAAUGCGCCAGGUCAGGACUCGGUGAGCUCCAGGCAAGAGGUAAGAGACUUCUGGGGACUGUGCAUCCAGCUGCCUCUGUGACUCUGCAGCUGUCCCACCGAGGACCUGGUUUUUAGCACACCUGGUCUGAGGUUUGAGCUCUUGGCCAUCCUAACUUGGCACAUCAAAGAUGGGGAAGAAGACACAGAGAGAAGAGGAACAGCCAGAGAAAUAAGUGGAAAAUGAGAAGAGUGAGUGAACCACAGAGUGAUGUCCACCCCCAGAUGCAGCCCCCUUGCUAUUCUUUUCACCUUCUGCAAAAAUGGCCCAAAACUAAGAACAACCAUGCUCUCCG